UAACGAAUCUUCCGCAAUGCACGAAAGUGUGACGGAGCGACGCCGCGUGGAGGACGAAGUUCUUCGGAAUGUAAACUUCUGUCAGGGGAUACCAAGUUCUGAGGAUCCCCAGAGGAAGGGGCGACUAACUCUGUGCCAGCAGUCGCGGUAAGACAGAGGCCCCGAGCGUUAGGCGGAAUCACUGGGCUUAAAGCGUGUGUAGGCGGAUUCCUAAGUACCUUGUGAAAUCCCCGGGCUCAACCCGGGAACUGCUUGGUAUACUGGGUAUCUUGAGCCAAUUAGGGGCGAUCGGAACAAACGGUGGAGCGGUGAAAUGCGUAGAUAUCGUUUGGAACGCCAAUGGUGAAAACAGAUCGCUGGGAUUGUGCUGACGCUGAGACACGAAAGCCAGGGGAGCAAACGGGAUUAGAUACCCCCGUAGUCC
rnacentral:rRNA from 1 species